ACGACUGCUAAGACUGGAUAGGAAGAAAUAAGGCAUCUUAUUUCUUUUAAAAGACCUAGUAAUAGGUAUACUUUAGGAGGGGCUUGCGCCAUAUUAGUUAGUUGGUAGGGCAAUGGCCUACCAAGACGAUGAUGUGUAGCUGGACUGAGAGGUUGAACAGCCACAUUGGGACUGAGACACGGCCCAAACUCCUGCGGGAGGCAGCAGUAAGGAAUUUUCGGCAAUGGAGGAAACUCUGACCGAGCAACGCCGCGUGAACGACGAAGUACUUUGGUAUGUAAAGUUCUUUUAUCAAGGAAGAAAAGCAAGUGGCGAACCAUUUGUUUGCCGGUACUUGAUGAAUAAGCCCCGGCUAAUUAUGUGCCAGCAGCCGCGGUAAGACAUAAGGGGCAAGUGUUAUCCGGAAUUAUUGGGCGUAAAGGGUGCGUAGGCGGUCUAGUAAGUCAGUGGUGCAAUGGCAACGCUCAACGUUGUCCGGCUAUUGAAACUGCUAAACUUGAGUUAGAUAGAGGCGAGUGGAAUUCCAUGUGUAGCGGUAAAAUGCGUAAAUAUAUGGAGGAACACCAGAGGCGUAGGCGGCUCGCUGGGUCUUAACUGACGCUGAGGCACGAAAGCGUGGGGAGCAAACAGGAUUAGAUACCCUGGUAGUCCACGCCGUAAACGAUGAGUACUAAGUGUCGGGUUAAACCGGUACUGAAGUUAACACAUUAAGUACUCCGCCUGAGUAGUACGUACGCAAGUAUGAAACUUAAAGGAAUUGACGGGACUCCGCACAAGCGGUGGAUCAUGUUGUUUAAUUCGAAGAUACCCGAAAAACCUUACCAGGUCUUGACAUGUUUUUGCGAAACGGUAGUAAUAUCGUAGAGGUUAUCAGAAACACAGGUGGUGCAUGGUUGUCGUCAGCUCGUGUCGUGAGAUGUUAGGUUAAGUCCUAAAACGAGCGAAACCCUUAUCGUUAGUUGCCAGCACGUUAUGGUGGGGACUUUAACGAGACUGCCAGUGAUAAACUGGAGGAAGGUGAGGAUCACGUCAAAUCAGCAUGCCCCUUAUGACCUGGGCUACAAACGUGAUACAAUGGCUGUUACAAAGGGUAGCUGAAACGUAAGUUCUUGGCCAAUCCCCAAAAACAGUCUCAGUCCGGAUUGAAGUCUGCAACUCGACUUCAUGAAGUUGGGAUCGCUAGUAAUCGCGAAUCAGCAUGUCGCGGUGAAUACGUUCGCGGGGUUUGUACACACCGCCCGUCA
rnacentral:rRNA from 1 species